CCCAGGCCCGUUCUGUGCAAGGCCCCACAUGCGUCUGCACAGACUAUACAAUACUUCACGUGGGCAGGGACCACGCUCAUCCUCACCGAUAUGUGCAAGACCUGGCACAUAGGCAAGAAUCCUGUAUGGUUUAUCCACCGCUGUUACCCCAGAGCCUUGCACAGAGCCUGGCGCAGAGCAGAAAUUUUGAGGGGGUCUGAUGAAUCCAUGAACCUAUGAGGCACAGUCAAAGAAGACCCGGGGCCAGACACACCUGGUUUUCAAGCUAUAUGACUCUGGGCAAGUUACUGAACUUCUCUGACCCUGUUUCUUCCUCAGGAAAAAUAAAUGCCACCCAGCAUCCUUCAGGGAGUUCUUGCGAGGGUUAAACAGAGGGUCAUCUAAACACUGCUCUCUAGGUGAGAAAGUGCAGGCUUCAGUGCAGGCUGAAGAGGUUGAAAGUUCCCAUGAGGAAGGAGUGUGGAUUCUGGUGGUGCUGCCAGUGAGUUGCACGGCCCUGGGUCGUGACUCCGGUCUCAGCCUCCCCAUGUGCACACUGGGGUUCACAGUGCCUGCCUCCCCGGCUGUGUCGAGGAUCUGCUGAGCUGGUGGGUUGCAAAGGCAACUGGGGUGCUGCCCAGCGCUCAUAUAUGGGGGCCCCUGUAGCUUCUCAGCUCCCGUCCCACUGGGGUGGUGAGCAUCCCACGUCUGUCUCCCCCAUGGCCGUGUGAGCCCCUGUGGGCCAGCAGCAUCCUACCCUGCAGGGCCUGGUGCAGAAUGAGAGCACAGAGGACAACUACAAUGGCCACAGCUCAUUUCACUGACCGGUUACUCUGUGCCAGGCAAUUGUUCUAAGAGCUUCACGUGCAUUAACUCAUUUUAUCUUCACUGCAAUUCUAUGAGGCAGGUACAACUGUUGUCCCCAUUUUACAGAUGAGAUAACUGAGGCUUAGCAAGACUAAAUAAUUUCUCCAAUAUCAGACAACUGGUAAGUGGUGGAGCCAGGAUUUGAACCCAGCAAGACAGGCUGGGGAACGUCCACACAGCAGUCCCUUGGAUGGAGAGAUGGGAGGUGUGCGUGUCAAGCCUGUGUGAAUUCACCUGCAGGAAGUGAGUCCACAGUCCCAGGGCAGGCCGUGCUUCACUGAGUGUGUAGACAGCAAGUCUGGCCCAGGGAGACUGGGCCUUCUCUGUUCCCAAGCACCGUCUCCCAGAGGAAAUUCUCUGGGGCCUCCAGGAAGGCUGGGAAGGCGAUGACCGGGUCACUUGGGCUGGGCAAAGGUGCCCCGGGAAGGAAGCAUAAGCAACACAAAGGGAGAAAGGAGUGAGAGAGGGCACGGGAGGCAGUCCCCGCGGUGCGGCCCGAAGCCAGACUCUGAUUCAGACCCAGGCUCUGCACCAGGCUUUACCCUCUCCGUGCCUCAGUUUCCUAAUCUGAAAAAUGGAGACAAUAUAUUGUAUCUACCUCUGGGGCUGCUGAGAGGGUAAAAGGGGAUCGUGCUUGUGAAGUACGGUGCUCGGCACGCACAAAGCGUUCAACCAGCAUCAGCGGCACACGGACGUAUGCAGCAUGUAUGGGGGGCGGGGGGCGCGGAGCAGCGCAGGCACGUGUGUGCCUCUGGGUCUGUAUGUGAGAUGUCCCAGCCGGGUGGGCCUGUG